GAUGAACGCUAGCGGCAGGCUUAAUACAUGCAAGUCGAGGGACAGCACAGGUAGCAAUACUGGGUGGUAACCGGCAAACGGGUGCGGAACACGUACACAACCUUCCUUUAAGUGGGGGAUAGCCCAGAGAAAUUUGGAUUAAUACCCCGUAAUAUAGUUGAAUGGCAUCAUUUGAUUAUUAUAGCUACGGCGCUUAAUGAUGGGUGUGCGGCGGAUUAGAUAGUUGGCGGGGUAACGGCCCACCAAGUCUACGAUCAGUAGCUGAUGUGAGAGCAUGAUCAGCCACACGGGCACUGAGACACGGGCCCGAAUCCUACGGGAGGCAGCAGUAAGGAAUAUUGGUCAAUGGACGCAAGUUUGAACCAGCCAUGCCGCGUGAAGGAUUAAGGUCCUCUGGAUUGUAAACUUCUUUUAUUUGGGACGAAAAAGGGCCUUUCUAGGUCAACUGACGGUACCAGAUGAAUAAGCACCGGCUAACUCCGUGCCAGCCGCCGCCGUAAAAC
rnacentral:rRNA from 1 species